GCAUCCUUAGUGCAGAGGUAACAUGGUCCUUAAAGUAUGUGGUAGUGAAAUUUCUGGGGAUGCCUGGGGCUCAAAUCCCCAAGGAUGCA